GAUGAACGCUGGCAGAAUGCUUAACACAUGCAAGUCGACUUGAACUUCGGUUUGGGUGGCGGCCGGGUGAGUAACGCGUACAGAACUUGCCUCACAGCUAGGGACAACAUUUGGAAACGAAUGCUAAUACCUGAUAUUAUGAUUAUAUGGCAUCGUAUAAUUAUGAAAGCUAUAUGCGCUGUGAGAGAGCUUUGCGUCACAUUAGCUAGUUGGAGAGGUAACAGCUCACCAAGGCGAUGAUGGGUAGCCGGCCUGAGAGGGUGAUCGGCCACAAGGGGACAGAGACACGGCCGUUACGCAUACGGGAGGCAGCAGGGGGGAAUAUUGGACAAUGGACCGAGAGUCUGAUCAAGCAAUUCUGUGUGCAAGAUGAAGUUUUUCGGAAUGUAAAGUGCUUUCAGUUGAGAAGAAAAAAAUGACGGUACCAACAGAAGAAGUGACGGCUAAAUACGUG
rnacentral:rRNA from 1 species